AAACUGGGAUUAAUACAUGAUAGAUCAUCAUCUGGAAGGAGAGAUGGUUUAAAGGGGUGCGCGAGCUUCUUUUGUGCAUCCGCUCUAGGAUGGGACUGCGGCCGAUCAGGCUGUUGGUGGGGUAAUGGCCCACCAAACCUGUAACCGGUACGGGCCUUGAGAGAGGGGGCCCGGAGAUGGACACUGAGAGAAGGGUCCAGGUCCUACGGGGCGCAGCAGGCGCGAAACCUUCGCAAUGCGCGAAAGCGUGACGAGGUUAAUCCGAGUGGUUCCCGCUGAGGGAAUCUUUUGUUGGCUCUAAAAUGGCCAGUGAAUAAGGGGAGGGCAAGUCUGGUGUCAGCCGCCGCGGUAAUACCAGCUCCUCGAGUGGUCGGGGCGAUUAUUGGGUCCUAAAGCAUCCGUAGCCUGUUCCGUAGGUCUUCUGUUAAAUCCAACGGCUUAACCGUUGGCCUGCAGAAUAUACCGCGGGACUAGGAGGCGGGAGAGGUGGACGGUACUCCACGUGUAGGGGUAAAAUCCUUUGAUCCGUGGAA
rnacentral:rRNA from 1 species